UGGCGACCGGCGCACGGGUGAGUAACACGUAUCCAACCUGCCGAUAACUCGGGGAUAGCCUUUCGAAAGAAAGAUUAAUAUCCGAUAGCAUAUCAAGAUCGCAUGAUCUUGAUAUUAAAGAAUUUCGGUUAUCGAUGGGGAUGCGCUCCAUUAGUUAGUUGGCGGGGUAACGGCCCACCAAGACGACAAUGGAUAGGGGUUCUGAGAGGAAGGUCCCCCACAUUGGAACUGAGACACGGUCCAAACUCCUACGGAAGGCAGCAG
rnacentral:rRNA from 1 species